AACAUAGGCUGGGGGAGUGGGCAAUUGCAUGGAAGAUGUUGUAUAAUGUGGACACAUUCGACAUUAUCCA